rnacentral:rRNA from 1 species
AUUGAACGCUGGCGGCAGGCCUAACACAUGCAAGUCGAACGGUAACAGGAAACAUCUUGCCGUUCCGCUGACGAGUGGCGGACGGGCGUGUAAUGUCUUGGAAAUUGCCUGACGGAGGGGGUUCUCUUCUGGAAACGUUAGUUAAUACCGCAUAACGUCCCAAAUCCAAUGAGCGGGCCUUUCGGUCCCCUUUCCAUCGGAUGUGCCCAGACGGGAUUAGCUUUCUGGUGGGGUACCGGCACACCAAGGCGCCGAUCGCUAACUGGUCUGAGAGGAUGACUAGCCACACUGGAACUGAGACACAGUCGAGACACCGAGAGGAGGAAACAGUGGGGAAUAUUGCGCAAUGGAGGAAAGCCUGAUGCAGCAAAGCGGCGGAUAGGAAGAAGGACUUAGGGUGGUAAAGUAAUGAAGGCGGGGAGGAAGGAAGUAAAGUUAAUACGUGAGCUCAAUGACGUUACCCGCAGAAGAAGCACCGGCUAACUCCGUG